AUAGGCCACACCCCUUUGCUUGAACUCAGGUAUAUAGAGCUCCUGCAGACCGCGGCAGUGAGUGAGCUCCAGCUGGAGGUGGUUUCCUGAUUACAGCAAUGUAAUAAGACUGCCCAGAGCUUCGAAGCUCUGUUUCUACCCAAAAAUCACUGGCACAAACAGGAGGCCAAGAAGCUGGGAAUGGUUGGAGCUCUGAACCCAACUCUGACCCUGAUCGUUGGGAAAGUAUCUGCUGAGCCAGCCAGAAGGUGACCAAGGCUGGACUUCACCCACCAUCUCCUUUGCCAGAGACAGAAAAGAUGACAAAGGGGGAAGGGGAGGAAGCAAUAGGCGCCAUUCCCCAACUAACUGCAAGGUAAACUUCCUCUUCCUAUAAAAAUAUCGUUUCUGCUCUCUGAAGCAAAAGCAAACUCUUAUACAUUCUCAGAAUUGAUAAAUAUUUUUUCUUCCCUCUCUAUCUUAUUUUUUUCUGUUUUCCAUUUUGAUCUUAUACAAAUCUGAUGUGGUUCUGCAAGUUUUACUAUUCUUGAAAUUCAAACACUAGGAAUACAUCUUGCAGUACUGCUCGGGAAGUCCAUAGGCUUGCCUGCAAAGGCAAGAAAAUAGUUGAAAGGGCUAGAAACACAAAACUCCAGACUCUAAUUUACUGCAGAGAUACGUUCUUUUCUAGAAUAGGGUCGCCUACUUCUGUUGACCUUGCUGGACAGCUUCUCCUGGCUUUCAGUCAUCUGUUGUCUACUAACACCAGUAUGUGUGGUUUUAGCCCUUUGUUCUGUGACUUAACAUCUCGUGACUUCUUCAAACAGCUCAUUAUUAAACUUUGGGGUCCCCACAGUCCUCAAAUAAUAGAGUCUCUAGAUUCAAAGAUUGAGAGAGAAUGUCCUUUCUGUCAUGUCAACUUGACUAAUCCUCCCUCUGUGCUUAGGGAAGAGUCACUCUUUACUUGGACCAAACUUAUGAAACACCUUAUGUUAUGUUCCCCUCAAAUUCCCUGCCAAAGUGGGAGGGAAGACAUUUUGAUAGCAUGGCCCUUUAUUGACUUACUUAACCUGGUAUAUGGCCUGUCAGGAUCUGAUCAUAAUUAUUAUACUAAUUAUCACUCACCAUUCCUAACUAUAGAUAGAACUUCUCCUCCAACCCUCACUCAGGCUGUAACUCGACACAUGAUUCAACGCCUUUCUCAAGAGGUUCAUUGGCAAGAGACCAGGUUCUCCAACUUUAGGGUAGCUAAAAGGCUAUGUCUUCAUCAAGGGGUACCACAGCUAACAACCUACUAAAGAAAGAACUUUCUUCAAAGGCCCAGGAUGAAAAAGAAGCUUUAAUGUUCAUCCAAACUAAGGCACUGAGGAUGUUCGGAGUCCAUGGGGAGAACCCCGAGAAACCCAUAUCCUCAUCCUAUUCUCCCCUCUCAAGUGGAUUCCCUUUUCAUGGAAAUGGGUUAUCGGUUCUCCAUUUUUUUGGACUCUCCUCUUCAUUGCAAGUACUCACAGGAAACUCCCUUUUGGUUUUACUGUACUCUACUCCCCUCAGGUAUAUCUCUACCCAUUGGCAGAAGUUUGACCUAGAUAAUGAUACAUAGGUAACAAUAUUAGCUGUGAUGUAGAAAAAUGUGGCCCUCAAAUGGCAGCCUUCAGCUAUAGCAUCAUCCUUCGUCCCAUGAGAGUUAGCUCCUCACUGUAGAAGACAGGGGAAAUGGUCUGGGAUACCCCAUGUCCAGGCUUUUAUGGUUCUAUACUAUCACUACUCCUGGAAAGAAAAUGUGAAGAUAAAUGAAGACACUCUACAUGCAAUGGGGGACCCUCUAUUUUAAGGUCCUUUUGUAUCUUAGGAGUGACAAUGUCCACUCUCUUUGCAGUAAUUAUGAUGACCCUCCCAUGCCACAAGGAAAAAAAAAUAGUCUCCCUCCCUACACUUUCUGGUGGUCCCCUUAAAGUCCAGGGAGCAGAACUUCAACUGGUUUUGAACACUUGCAGGAGAAACCCUGUACAAUGCAGAAGAAGGUGUCUCCCUACAGUCUCUUUCUGACCAGAGUGAUUAUAACAGUGUAGGUGCCCCUCUUAGUGACAGACAACCAGCAACGAAGGAGAAAUUGAAUGCUUAUUCUGAAGACGUAGAUGCAUUUGUUAGUGUGUUCCAGACUCUGACUAUGUCAGUUGACCUGUCCUGGGAGAGGAAUAUAUGUUCUUGCUGCUUUCUUCACUACCAUAGAGAUGGAGUGUAUGCUAUGACCGGCUAGAAAGGAUGCAGAGAUGUUUGCUAGGAAUACAACUACUGCCCCACCUGACAUGGAUUAUAAUACUGAGGAAGAAUUGUAGAUGGUAGCAAACGUCCUGAAGAUUCUUAUUGGGUGAAUGAAAAAGAACAAAACUAAGCCACUUGGUCAUGCUAGAAUCAGAGGUCACCAAAGGGAAACCCAGAAAUUCUUCUGUUUUGCUUACUAGAAAAUGGUAACUUCUUGUUGCUACUUCAUAACUAUAAUUAUGCUACUGUUAUGAAUCACAAUGUGAAUAUCUGAUAUGUGACCCCUGUGAAAGAAAGGGUGGUUCGCUUUCCCUGAGGGGUCAUGAACCACAGCUUGAGAACCACUGGUUUAUGGAGAUGACCACUUUUCUUUGGAUCUUCCAGUCACAACUGUAGCCUCAUAGUGUAGUUCAUAUCUAAAGACAAUGAAUUUGCUUACUCAUAACAUCCAGACUCAAGGAAGCUUUCUACAAAUACACUAAUAUUGACUCUAUAACUCUAGAUAGAAAUGCCUUAAUGGCACAAUAUUUUAUCAUCCAAUCUGUCUCUGAUACAAGAAAGGAAUUACAAAAAUGACAUAUGGAAGCCCAGAUCCACUGAGUCAGCCAUGCCAUUCACUGUCUAUAGAAAUCAGAACCUAAAGGAAGAAAGAAAAUGAGUGAAGAGAUAAAACACAAGCCAAAAUGAUGACUGUCAUAAUUGGGCGUGCCUUUGAUGGGACUUCCAAAGUUUAGACAAAGGCUGGGCACUGGGAAAAGCCUUCAACAGACCUCCAAGCAAACCAUGUUGUGUCUUUCAAGAAACCAUCUCCUUGGCAUAGGAAUAGGCAAGGGACAUCUAAGAGUAGCUAUGGAAAGGAUGGCUGACUAGGGCAGCCCAGAAAGAUCCUCACUGCCUCUAGCAGACAUUAUCACCCCAGAAGAAUCACGGGAAGCCCACCAAGAACCAAUAAAGAUAGGAAGUUAGUAUCAAUGGCCUCUCUUCAGAAAACAAUCUCAAGUUAAAUAAAGUGACCCGGGAUGGUGGCUUCAACCUCACCUCAUCUUAACACUUUCUCUAAGCUUCUCUCCCUAUUAUUUUAAUUGAACCACAGCUGUGUAGGGAACCUGGUACUUUCAGUUUGAUUAAUUUCAUUUCAUCCCUUUUAAAUUUCACUAAGCCUUAUUGCUUAUGUCUUCCUGUUCUGAAGAGGAGUUAUGAGCAUUUAGCAUUAACGUAGGGCUGGGCCUUACCAGAAACUUAUUUGCAAGGGAAAACACGGGUGCAAUCCUUUUAGAAACCAACCAGCUACCAGCAAUCAGUCCAAGAGAAAGACCAGGAAACAUACUUAAGAUGAGGGCCCAUUUCUGAGUCAACCCCGAAGAAAGUAGCAUCUUUCUUCCCACUAGGCCCUGAUGCUCACAUUUAACCUGGAAUUCAACUCUUAAAUUUCCUUUUUGCCUACACAAUGAAAGUGGCUCAAGUACCUGAGUGGGAAUUGGUCUAACAGAUUCUUGUAGGAAGACAGAAAGUUAAUAAUUAAGCGGGAAUGACAUUAAAGACUUUCAACGGUCCCCCACCAUUAGCUUUCUCCUUUUCUUGGUCCAUGUUUCUGUUACUCCUCUUAACUUGUCUAGUCAUUUAUGCUUAGAUGUCUAUUGCAGAAGGCCCACCCUUGGAAUCUUCCUUCUAGUUGGUACUGGUUUGACAGCACAGUGGGUGGCCCUAUAGAGCCCCAUCUGGAG
ensembl:lncRNA